AACUCUAAUAUGAAGUAUAGUAUUUAAAUUGCCACAUUGUGAGUGAAUAUUGUAAUCCCGUUUAAAUGUUGACCGCAGUAUGCUUUAGUCUUAAGCAGGAUUAGUGAGACACUGACAAAAACAUCAGUUGCAAUGCAAUGGCCAAAUGCAUCUGUUGACUUUAAAAGAAAAAAAACAGGUCAAAUAAAAGCCCGGUGUACUCAGCAAGACAAAAUGACCCAAAUUACUUGUUAGGAGUAAAUUAAAUAGUGGUAUCCCCCUGUGUUUUAGGAAGCAUUAUCGAGAGUAUCUGGUCAGCCUCAUUAAUGGGCAUUCUAUUGACCCCGCCCACCUUUACACUCUUGAUGAGCUGGCCGUGGCCUGCAGGAGAUACCAUGUGGACGUCAGACAGGGGGACGGAGAAGACGAUAGAGCAUACUUUGCUAGACUGCUUAAGAAACUCAUGGAUGACGUCCCUCUGGGUGACAAGGUCCCUCGCAAGAAGU